GUGGGGAAUAUUGCACAAUGGGCGAAAGCCUGAUGCAGCGACGCCGCGUGAGCGAUGAAGUAUUUCGGUACGUAAAGCUCUAUCAGCAGGGAAGAUAAUGACGGUACCUGACUAAGAAGCACCGGCUAAAUACGUGCCAGCAGCCGCGGUAAUACGUAUGGUGCAAGCGUUAUCCGGAUUUACUGGGUGUAAAGGGAGCGUAGGCGGCGUGGUAAGUCAGAAGUGAAAGCCCGGGGCUCAACCCCGGGACUGCUUUUGAAACUAUCAUGCUAGAGGGUCGGAGAGGUAAGUGGAAUUCCUAGUGUAGCGGUGAAAUGCGUAGAUAUAACACAGAACACCAAUUGCGAAGGCAGCUUACUGGGAUGCAACUGACGCUGAGGCACGAAAGCGUGGGGAUCAAACAGGAUUAGAAACCCUAGUAGUCC
rnacentral:rRNA from 1 species